UCACUGAAUGGAAGGUGCCAUCUGCCUC
rnacentral:piRNA from 1 species